UAGGGUCAGCUAAAAAAGCUAUUGGGCCCAUACCCCGAAAAUGUUGGUUCAACACCUUCCCCUACUAAU
rnacentral:tRNA from 2 species